rnacentral:tRNA from 1 species
GCCCAGAUAGCUCAGUCGGUAGAGCANNUUGUGUCGGCGGUUCGAUUCCGUCUCUGGGCACCA